AACAGGAUUAGAUACCCUGGUAGUCCACGCCGUAAACGAUGUCGAUUUGGAGGUUGUGCCCUUGAGGCAUGGCUUCCGGAGCUAACGCGUUAAAUCGACCGCCUGGGGAGUACGGCCGCAAGGUUAAAACUCAAAUGAAUUGACGGGGGCCCGCACAAGCGGUGGAGCAUGUGGUUUAAUUCGAUGCAACGCGAAGAACCUUACCUGGUCUUGACAUCCACAGAACUUAGCAGAGAUGCUUUGGUGCCUUCGGGAACUGUGAGACAGGUGCUGCAUGGCUGUCGUCAGCUCGUGUUGUGAAAUGUUGGGUUAAGUCCCGCAACGAGCGCAACCCUUAUCCUUUGUUGCCAGCGGUUAGGCCGGGAACUCAAAGGAGACUGCCAGUGAUAAACUGGAGGAAGGUGGGGAUGACGUCAAGUCAUCAUGGCCCUUACGACCAGGGCUACACACGUGCUACAAUGGCAUAUACAAAGAGAAGCGACCUCGCGAGAGCAAGCGGACCUCAUAAAGUAUGUCGUAGUCCGGAUUGGAGUCUGCAACUCGACACCAUGAAGUCGGAAUCGCUAGUAAUCGUAGAUCAGAAUGCUACGGUGAAUACGUUCCCGGGCCUUGUACACACCGCCCGUCACACCAUGGGAGUGGGUUGCAAAAGAAGUAGGUAGCUUAACCUUCGGGAGGGCGCUUACCACUUUGUGAUUCAUGACUGGGGUGAAGUCGUAACAAGGUAACC
rnacentral:rRNA from 1 species